rnacentral:rRNA from 1 species
AUAACGAUCCGGAAACGGGUGCUAAUACCGCAUAGUUUCUUGAUCGCAUGAUUGAGAAAGGAAAGACGGCCUUUGUGCUGUCGCUUAUGGAUGGACCCGCGGCGUAUUAGUUAGUUGGUGAGGUAACGGCUCACCAAGACGAUGAUACGUAGCCGACCUGAGAGGGUGAUCGGCCACAUUGGGACUGGGACACGGCCCAAACUCCUACGGGAGGCAGCAGGUAGGGAAUCUUCCGCAAUGGACGAAAGUCUGACGGAGCAACGCCGCGUGAGUGAAGAAAAGGGUUUUCGGAUCGUAAAACUCUGUUGUCAGAGAAGAACAAGUUGGAGAGUAACUGCUCCAGCCUUGACGGUAUCUGACCAGAAAGCCACGGCUAACUACGUGCCAGCCGCAGC